UACGAAGGGAGCUAGCGUUGUUCGGAAUCACUGGGCGUAAAGCGCACGUAGGCGGAUUUGCCAGUCAGGGGUGAAAUCCCGGGGCUCAACCUCGGAACUGCCUUUGAUACAGCAAGUCUUGAGUUCGAGAGAGGUGGGUGGAAUUCCUAGUGUAGAGGUGAAAAUUCGUAGAUAUUAGGAAGAACACCGGUGGCGAAGGCGGCCCACUGGCUCGACACUGACGCUAGGU
rnacentral:rRNA from 1 species